ensembl:lncRNA
CAGGAAAAUCAUGUGGAGAGCAUGCCAACCACUUGAAAGAUAAGCAUGGUGUUCUUGGUGCCUGGGAACCAGGGAUCUGGGGAGGUGCUUCUCUGCUUCAAUGAAGGGGCUUAAGCUUGGACCACCAAACAGUGCCAACAAUGUGUGUAUGUUGUGCUUCUUUUCUGUCCAGGUUACCUUCAUUUUUAGGAAGGUUCUUUUUGGAAGUCCAUUCUACUGUCUUCACUGUGCCAAGAAGAGAUGGAAGGAAAAGUCUGGAGGAAAGUGAGAACAGAGAAAACCACUAGGUCUCUUGGGAUGAAGAAUAGAAGUCAGACAAAGGAGAACCCACUGACGUGGACCAUCAAGAUCAGCCCACCAGGGCAGAGACCAGAGUGGAAAAGGGACCUGGAGGAGCAGAAUGGAGACGCCGGGAGCACCAUUCAAUCUAAAGCAUGUUCCCGCUAUCAUCCUCAGAGAACCUUAUUCUUUCCUUUAAUUGCAGUUAGAACAAUUGAGAUUUAUUUAAUAGAAAUGUUUUAUUUACUUAUUUAAAACAAUGCCUGAAACACAGUAAGCGCUCAAUAAGCAUUAAUUAUCAGUAUUUUUUAUCUCUCGUAAGGGCCAGCAUGAGGAGAGAGGUGACCCAGAGGGCUGGCCAACCACUUCCUCUGCUGUGUGCUGUGUGAUCAGGAUGAAAUUCAGAAAAUUUCAUCUCAUGCUGUUUCUCCUGAGCUCUGCGCUCUAGACACACUGCCCUUCUCUCCAUUCCUUGAAGACAACAGCGAGCUCUUUCCACCUUGGAGUUUUCACACGCGACUUCCUCCUGCCUGGAGUGUCUCUCCUCCCCCGUUCUUCACAUGGCUGGCUCCCGCUCAUCCCGAAAGUCUAGCUUAAAUGUCACUUCCUCAGAGAGGCUUUCUAUUGCCAUCUGUAUCCAUCAGGGUCCUGGCAGGAAACAAUGGCACAUUCAAGUUAGGAUAAUUCAAGGAGGUUUCUAAAAGGACUAUGCAUAAAGGCAUGAAGCGAGGCAAAGGGGUGCCGCCAGGGAGAGGACAGAAACGCCCCUAGCCCAGAAGGAUGAAGGAGCAGGACAGA